rnacentral:rRNA from 1 species
GCCAGACUCCUACGGGAGGCAGCAGUGGGGGAUAUUGCACAAUGGGGGAAACCCUGAUGCAGCGACGCCGCGUGAGUGAAGAAGUAUUUCGGUAUGUAAAGCUCUAUCAGCAGGGAAGAAAAAAGACGGUACCUGACUAAGAAGCCCCGGCUAACUACGUGCCAGCAGCCGCGGUAAUACGUAGGGGGCAAGCGUUAUCCGGAUUUACUGGGUGUAAAGGGAGCGUAGACGGCAAUACAAGUCGGAAGUGAAAUACCCGGGCUUAACCUGGGAACUGCUUUGGAAACUGUAUGGCUGGAGUGCUGGAGAGGUAAGCGGAAUUCCUAGUGUAGCGGUGAAAUGCGUAGAUAUUAGGAGGAACACCAGUGGCGAAGGCGGCUUACUGGACGAUGACUGACGCUGAGGCUCGAAAGCGUGGGGAGCAAACAGGAUUAGAUACCCGGGUA